GGGCCCGCACAAGUGGUGGAGCAUGUGGUUUAAUUCGAUGCAACGCGAAGAACCUUACCAACCCUUGAAAUCUAGCGAAGUUCACAGAGAUGAGAAUGUGCCUUCGGGAACGCUAUGACAGGUGUUGCAUGGCUGUCGUCAGCUCGUGUCGUGAGAUGUAUGGUUAAGUCCAGUAACGAGCGCAACCCCUAUCCUUAUUUGCCAGCGCGUUAAGGCGGGAACUAUAGGGAGACUGCCGGGUGAAAACCCGGAGGAAGGCGGGGACGAGGGUCAAGUCAUCAUGGCCCUUAUGGGUUGGGCUACACACGUGGCUACAAUGGGAAGUACAGAGGGAUGCGAAAGCGCGAGGUGGUG
rnacentral:rRNA from 1 species